rnacentral:rRNA from 1 species
UGCAAGUCGAACGCUGAAGCACCAGCUUGCUGGUGUGGAUGAGUGGCGAACGGGUGAGUAAUACGUGAGUAACCUGCCCUUGACUCUGGGAUAAGCCCGGGAAACUGGGUCUAAUACUGGAUGCUACAUGUCACCGCAUGGUGGUGUGUGGAAAGGGUUUACUGGUCUUGGAUGGGCUCACGGCCUAUCAGCUUGUUGGUGAGGUAAUGGCUCACCAAGGCGACGACGGGUAGCCGGCCUGAGAGGGUGACCGGCCACACUGGGACUGAGACACGGCCCAGACUCCUACGGGAGGCAGCAGUGGGGAAUAUUGCACAAUGGGCGAAAGCCUGAUGCAGCGACGCCGCGUGAGGGAUGACGGCCUUCGGGUUGUAAACCUCUUUCAGCAGGGAAGAAGCCACAAGUGACGGUACCUGCAGAAGAAGCGCCGGCUAACUACGUGCCAGCAGCCGCGGUAAUACGUAGGGCGCAAGCGUUGUCCGGAAUUAUUGGGCGUAAAGAGCUCGUAGGCGGUUUGUCGCGUCUGCUGUGAAAGCCCGGGGCUUAACCCCGGGUGUGCAGUGGGUACGGGCAGACUAGAGUGCAGUAGGGGAGACUGGAAUUCCUGGUGUAGCGGUGGAAUGCGCAGAUAUCAGGAGGAACACCGAUGGCGAAGGCAGGUCUCUGGGCUGUUACUGACGCUGAGGAGCGAAAGCAUGGGGAGCGAACAGGAUUAGAUACCCUGGUAGUCCAUGCCGUAAACGUUGGGCACUAGGUGUGGGGGACAUUCCACGUUUUCCGCGCCGUAGCUAACGCAUUAAGUGCCCCGCCUGGGGAGUACGGCCGCAAGGCUAAAACUCAAAGGAAUUGACGGGGGCCCGCACAAGCGGCGGAGCAUGCGGAUUAAUUCGAUGCAACGCGAAGAACCUUACCAAGGCUUGACAUAUACCGGAUCGUUCC